rnacentral:rRNA from 1 species
AUCUUUAUAAUUUUACUUCCAAAUCCACUUUCAAUUAUUUUUUCAUACUAAUAUUCAUUUAAAUAACUUUAUUGUAACUCAUCUCUUCUUAAAUAUAAGCUACACCUUGAUCUGAAAUAAAAUUUAAUAUAAAUUUAUGAAAAUUAUUAUUCUUAUAAAAUAUUCUGAUAACGACGGUAUAUAAACUGCUUUACAAAUUUAAGUAAGGUCCAACGUGGAUUAUCAAUUAUAGGACAAGUUCCUCUGAAUAGACUAAAAUACCGCCAAAUUUUUUAAGUUUCAAGAACAUAACUAUUAC